CUACGGGUGGCUGCAGUGGGGAAUCUUGCGCAAUGGGCGAAAGCCUGACGCAGCAACGCCGCGUGCGGGAUGAAGGCCUUCGGGCUGUAAACCGCUUUCAGCAGGAACGAAAAUGACGGUACCUGCAGAAGAAGGAGCGGCCAACUACGUGCCAGCAGCCGCGGUGACACGUAGGCUCCAAGCGUUGUCCGGAUUUAUUGGGCGUAAAGAGCUCGUAGGCGGUUGAGUAAGUCUGGUGUGAAAACUCUGGGCUUAACCCGGAGACGCCAUCCGAUACUGCUCUGACUUGAGUUCAGGAGGGGAGUGGGGAAUUCCUAGUGUAGCGGUGAAAUGCGCAGAUAUUAGGAGGAACACCGGUGGCGAAGGCGCCACUCUGGACUGAAACUGACGCUGAGGAGCGAAAGCAUGGGUAGCAAACAGGAUUAGAUACCCUCGUAGUC
rnacentral:rRNA from 1 species